GAAUAAAUAUAACACUAAUAUAACAACUCUUUUGCGAAAGAAAGAGUCCGCUCAUCUCUCUUUCUCCAUUGAAAAAAAUUCCUUAACCCUAGCCCCUCAAUCUAACAAUUAUUCUUCAAUGUUUCUCCCAAAUACAAAAUUAAAACCGUCCAAGACUGUACUGUUGUUUUUCUUCCAUCGUCUCAUCUCUCUCUUAGUCAUUUGAUAGUUUUGACAAGUUUGGGGAAAAUUAGGACUGGAAAUCGACUAUUUUGACCCAGAGAACACCGUUACUUCGCCGAUUUUCAAGUUUCCUUGGUGACCCAUUAAUCUUUUUGAAUGUUGCUUUUCCUAAGAGUAAUAAGGGUAAUGACAGUCACUAUACAACAAUGGCAAAUCCGGUGGUGUGCCACUCACCGUGACAGAGUUCCAGGUAGGAUCGACCUCUGUUUCUCAUGGCUGAUAGUGGUGCGAGAGUUGCUGCUUAGAGCCUUAUAGGGUGAGCACGGGGACGUCGGCCUCCUGGGAAAUUCUUCCUUUAGUUUAUGUCUUACUUGAUAUUCCGACACAUAUUCAGACUACUGAUGUAUUAUUGAUAUUUCCAAACUCAUAGAUCCUAGUUAAUUGCUCUUGUAUAACUAGGCAGAUUUCUGGGGUGGUUUGAUGUAUUUUCGCAUAUUCUAUCUAUUAUUAUGUCAGACUUACGUAUUUCUAUCU